rnacentral:lncRNA from 1 species
UUAUGACCAGUCUUAUGCUUUUCAGCCUUAAUGUCUCUCUGGAAUCCUCUGGACCUGUCCAAAGGGACAGAACUGAGCCUGUCAGUUAUGAAUCCAAUCUCUUCCCACGACUGACCUGGUGUGGGUCAGCGUGCAGCUCCCGUUGCCCAGGAGAAAGGCCAUGUGUGUAGCCGGCUCACCAUGGCCCCUGGACAAGGAACUUGAGCGGAACCUUUGGAAUUUGAGUCCCUUCAUCUGCCUAUUACUUUCCUGGGGCUGCCAAAACAAACGACCGCAAACUGGGUGGCUUAUAGCAACAGAGACCCGUUUUCUGACAGUCUGGAAACCAGAAAUGUGAAAUCCAGGUGUCUGCAGGACCGUGCUCUCUCUGAAGACUCCAGAGAAGCUAGUGAAAGCUUAAAGAAGAUAGAACAAAGCUAACAUGAAAAGACAUGUUCAGAUGUAAUUCAGAGCAACACCAGGU